GCAGCUAGACACGACAGAGAGGAGGUAGUUCUGAGUAGCUAGACACGACAGACAGAGGAGGUAGUUCUGAGUAGCUAGACACGACAGACAGAGAGGAGGUAGUUCUGAGUAGCUAGACACGACAGACAGUGGAGGUAGUUCUGAGUAGCUAGACACGACAGACAGAGAGGAGGUAGUUCUGAGUAGCUAGACACGACAGACAGUGGAGGUAGUUCUGAGUAGCUAGACACGACAGACAGAGAGGAGGUAGUUCUGAGUAGCUAGACACGACAGACAGUGGAGGUAGUUCUGAGUAGCUAGACACGACAGACAGAGAGGAGGUAGUUCUGAGUAGCUAGACACGACAGACAGUGGAGGUAGUUCUGAGUAGCUAGACACGACAGACAGAGAGGAGGUAGUUCUGAGUAGCUAGACACGACAGACAGUGGAGGUAGUUCUGAGUAGCUAGACACGACAGACAGAGAGGAGGUAGUUCUGAGUAGCUAGACACAACAGACAGAGAGGAGGUAGUUCUGAGUAGCUAGACACGACAGACAGAGAGGAGGUAGUUCUGAGUAGCUAGACACAACAGACAGAGAGGAGGUAGUUCUGAGUAGCUAGACACGACAGACAGAGGAGGUAGUUCUGAGUAGCUAGACACGAAAGACAGUGGAGGUAGUUCUGAGUAGCUAGUCACGACAGACAGAGAGGAGGUAGUUCUGAGUAGCUAGACACGACAGACGGAGAGGAGGUAGUUCUGAGUAGCUAGACACGACAGACAGUGGAGGUAGUUCUGAGUAGCAAGACACGACAGACAGGAGGUAGUUCUGAGUAGCUAGACACGACAGACAGAGAGAAGGUAGUUCUGAGUAGCUAGACACGACAGACAGAGAGAAGGUAGUUCUGAGUAGCUCGACACGACAGACAGAGAGGAGGUAGUUCUGAGUAGCUAGACACGACAGAGAGGAGGUA